rnacentral:lncRNA from 1 species
AGGUGUAAUCUUUGGAUUGGUUGGUAUGCGAUGAGUGCAAAGAACAGGGCUAAUCCCUUUUAGGUCUUGGAGUGAAUAACCAAAGGUAGCACGGUGUUUUUCUAGAACAGUUAUUAGUGUAUAGGUCUCCUCGUCUGAGAGUUUAUCACUCAUAAUCACAAUAUAUUUUUAUCACUAUUUAGAAAAACAUAUUUAAGUCUAGAAGGUAGUGGUUUGAGCUCAAUAGGAGGUGUAAGUGGCUCUAGUGAUUCCUCAAAAGGUUCAGGAUUAAUAGGAUCCUCUUCCUCUUCUUCAAUGAAGAACUGGGUAUCAUCUUCUAAAUCAGGUUGACUAAAAUUAUCGAAUUUGGAUGAGUUAACCUCUUCUAUUGGAUCUAAUUCAGGAAGGGGUUCUGCUUUAACUUUUACUAUAUGAGUUAUAGGCAUUGAAAAACUAAAUCCUUUCCCAAAUUUAAUAUCUAUUUUACCAUUACGACCUUCUUGAAGAUGUUUUAUUAUGGGUACUCCAAUCACUACAUUAAAAUCCCACACAUCAAAUAUAUAAAAAUUUAGCA